rnacentral:rRNA from 1 species
UGGGGAAUUUUGGACAAUGGGCGAAAGCCUGAUCCAGCAAUGCCGCGUGUGUGAAGAAGGCCUUCGGGUUGUAAAGCACUUUUGUCCGGAAAGAAAUCCUUGGCUCUAAUACAGUCGGGGGAUGACGGUACCGGAAGAAUAAGCACCGGCUAACUACGUGCCAGCAGCCGCGGUAAUACGUAGGGUGCAAGCGUUAAUCGGAAUUACUGGGCGUAAAGCGUGCGCAGGCGGUUUGCUAAGACCGAUGUGAAAUCCCCGGGCUCAACCUGGGAACUGCAUUGGUGACUGGCAGGCUAGAGUAUGGCAGAGGGGGGUAGAAUUCCACGUGUAGCAGUGAAAUGCGUAGAGAUGUGGAGGAAUACCGAUGGCGAAGGCAGCCCCCUGGGCCAAUACUGACGCUCAUGCACGAAAGCGUGGGGAGCAAACAGGAUUAGAUACCCUGGUAGUCCAGCGCCCUAAACGAUGUCAACUAGUUGUUGGGGAUUCAUUUCCUUAGUAACGUAGCUAACGCGUGAAGUUGACCGCCUGGGGAGUACGGUCGCAAGAUUAAAACUUAAAGGAAUUGAC